AGUCGAGCGAAUGGAUUAAGAGCUUGCUCUUAUGAAGUUAGCGGCGGACGGGUGAGUAACACGUGGGUAACCUGCCCAUAAGACUGGGAUAACUCCGGGAAACCGGGGCUAAUACCGGAUAACAUUUUGAACCGCAUGGUUCGAAAUUGAAAGGCGGCUUCGGCUGUCACUUAUGGAUGGACCCGCGUCGCAUUAGCUAGUUGGUGAGGUAACGGCUCACCAAGGCAACGAUGCGUAGCCGACCUGAGAGGGUGAUCGGCCACACUGGGACUGAGACACGGCCCAGACUCCUACGGGAGGCAGCAGUAGGGAAUCUUCCGCAAUGGACGAAAGUCUGACGGAGCAACGCCGCGUGAGUGAUGAAGGCUUUCGGGUCGUAAAACUCUGUUGUUAGGGAAGAACAAGUGCUAGUUGAAUAAGCUGGCACCUUGACGGUACCUAACCAGAAAGCCACGGCUAACUACGUGCCAGCAGCCGCGGUAAUACGUAGGUGGCAAGCGUUAUCCGGAAUUAUUGGGCGUAAAGCGCGCGCAGGUGGUUUCUUAAGUCUGAUGUGAAAGCCCACGGCUCAACCGUGGAGGGUCAUUGGAAACUGGGAGACUUGAGUGCAGAAGAGGAAAGUGGAAUUCCAUGUGUAGCGGUGAAAUGCGUAGAGAUAUGGAGGAACACCAGUGGCGAAGGCGACUUUCUGGUCUGUAACUGACACUGAGGCGCGAAAGCGUGGGGAGCAAACAGGAUUAGAUACCCU
rnacentral:rRNA from 1 species